UACGAAGGGGGCUAGCGUUGCUCGGAAUCACUGGGCGUAAAGGGCGCGUAGGCGGCUUAUCAAGUCGGGGGUGAAAGCCUGUGGCUCAACCACAGAAUGGCCUUCGAUACUGGGACGCUUGAGUAUGGUAGAGGUUGGUGGAACUGCGAGUGUAGAGGUGAAAUUCGUAGAUAUUCGCAAGAACACCGGUGGCGAAGGCGGCCAACUGGACCAUUACUGACGCUGAGGCGCGAAAGCGUGGGGAGCAAACAGG
rnacentral:rRNA from 1 species